rnacentral:rRNA from 2 species
AGGGCGCAUGGUGAAUGCCUUGGCACUAGGAGCCGAUGAAGGACGGGACUAACACCGAUAUGCUUCGGGGAGCUGUACGUAAGCUAUGAUCCGGAGAUUUCCGAAUGGGGCAACCCAGCAGUUUUAAUCAACUGUUACCACUAGAUGAAUUCAUAGUCUAGUUGGAGGUAAACGCUGUGAACUGAAACAUCUCAUUAGCAGCAGGAAUAUAAAGAAAUUUCGAUUCCCUAAGUAGCGGCGAGCGAACGGGGAACAGCCCAAACCAAAGUGCUUGCACUUUGGGGUUGUAGGACUGAACAUUUGAGUUACCAAAGAACUUGAUAGUCGAAGGAUUUGGGAAAAUCCGCCAUAGAUGGUGAUAGCCCAGUAGAUUAAAUCAAAUUCUCUCAGUUCAGGAUCCUGAGUACGGCGGAACACGUGAAAUUCCGUCGGAAUCCGGGAGGACCAUCUCCCAAGGCUAAAUACUACCUAGUGACCGAUAGUGAACCAGUACCGUGAGGGAAAGGUGAAAAGCACCCCGGGAGGGGAGUGAAAUAGUUCCUGAAACCAUGUGCCUACAAUAAGUCAGAGCGCGUUAAUGCGUGAUGGCGUGCCUUUUGUAGAAUGAACCGGCGAGUUAUGAUCCCGUGCAAGGUUAAGACUAAAAAGUCGGAGCCGUAGCGAAAGCGAGUCUGAAAUGGGCGUUUUGAGUACGAGGUUAUAGACCCGAAACCAGGUGACCUAUCCAUGUCCAGGUUGAAGGUGCGGUAAAACGCACUGGAGGACCGAACCCGUGUAAGUUGAAAAUUGCUGGGAUGAGGUGUGGAUAGCGGUGAAAUUCCAAACGAACUUGGAGAUAGCUGGUUCUCUCCGAAAUAGCUUUAGGGCUAGCCUCGGAAUUAGGAUCAUGGAGGUAGAGCACUAUUUGGACUAGGGGCCCGUCUUGGGUUACUGAAUUCAGAUAAACUCCGAAUGCCAUUGAUUCAUAUCCGGGAGUCAGACGAUGAGUGAUAAGAUCCACCGUCGAAAGGGGAACAGCCCAGACCAUCAGUUAAGGUCCCUAAAUGUAUGCUAAGUGGAAAAGGAUGUGGAGUUGCAUAGACAACUAGGAUGUUGGCUCAGAAGCAGCCACCAUUUAAAGAGUGCGUAAUAGCUCACUAGUCGAGUGAUCCUGCGCCGAAAAUGUACCGGGGCUAAGCAUACUACCGAAACCAUGGAUGCGACCAUUAGGUCGCGUGAUAGGAGAGCGUUCUAAGGGCGGUGAAGCAAGAUCGUGAGGACUUGUGGAGCGCUUAGAAGUGAGAAUGCCGGUAUGAGUAGCGAAAGAUAGGUGAGAAUCCUAUCCACCGAAUGACUAAGGUUUCCUGGGGAAGGCUCGUCCUCCCAGGGUUAGUCGGGACCUAAGUCGAGGCCGAGAAGCGUAGACGAUGGAUAACAGGUUGAGAUUCCUGUACUAGUUAAGUGCGUUUGAGCAAUGGAGGGACGCAGGAGGCUAAGAUGUGCAUUCUGUUGGAUUAGAAUGUCCAAGCAGUAAGUCUUGUGAAGAGUCAAAUGCUUUUCACUUUAAGGACAAGCUGUGAUGGGGAGCGAAAUUUAGUAGCGAAGCGUCUGAUGUCACACUGCCGAGAAAAGCUUCUAGUGAGUACUUAACUACCCGUACCGCAAACCGACACAGGUAGUCGAGGAGAGAAUCCUAAGGUGAGCGAGUGAACUCUCGUUAAGGAACUCGGCAAAAUGACCCCGUAACUUCGGGAGAAGGGGUGCUGAUCGCAAGAUCAGCCGCAGUGAAUAGGCCCAGGCGACUGUUUAUCAAAAACACAGGUCUCUGCAAAAUCGUAAGAUGACGUAUAGGGGCUGACGCCUGCCCGGUGCUGGAAGGUUAAAAGGAUGGGUUAGCUUCGGCGAAGCUCAGAAUUGAAGCCCCAGUAAACGGCGGCCGUAACUAUAACGGUCCUAAGGUAGCGAAAUUCCUUGUCGGGUAAGUUCCGACCCGCACGAAAGGCGUAACGAUCUGGGCACUGUCUCAACGAGAGACUCGGUGAAAUUAUAUUGUCCGUGAAGAUGCGGACUACCCGCGACAGGACGGAAAGACCCCAUGGAGCUUUACUGUAGCUUGAUAUUGAGUGUUUGUACAGCUUGUACAGGAUAGGUAGGAGCCAUAGAAACCGGAACGCUAGUUUCGGUGGAGGCGUUGGUGGGAUACUACCCUCGCUGUAUGACCACUCUAACCCGCACCACUAAUCGUGGUGGGAGACAGUGUCAGGUGGGCAGUUUGACUGGGGCGGUCGCCUCCUAAAAAGUAACGGAGGCGCCCAAAGGUUCCCUCAGAAUGGUUGGAAAUCAUUCGCAGAGUGUAAAGGCACAAGGGAGCUUGACUGCGAGACAGACAGGUCGAGCAGGGACGAAAGUCGGGCUUAGUGAUCCGGUGGUACCGUAUGGAAGGGCCAUCGCUCAACGGAUAAAAGCUACCCUGGGGAUAACAGGCUUAUCUCCCCCAAGAGUCCACAUCGACGGGGAGGUUUGGCACCUCGAUGUCGGCUCAUCGCAUCCUGGGGCUGUAGUCGGUCCCAAGGGUUGGGCUGUUCGCCCAUUAAAGCGGUACGCGAGCUGGGUUCAGAACGUCGUGAGACAGUUCGGUCCCUAUCCGUCGCGGGCGUAGGAAAUUUGAGAGGACCUGUCCUUAGUACGAGAGGACCGGGAUGGACAUACCUCUGGUGUACCAGUUGUGCCGCCAGGCGCAUCGCUGGGUAGCUACGUAUGGAUGUGAUAAACGCUGAAAGCAUCUAAGUGUGAAACACACCUCGAGAUGAGAUUUCCCAUUCCUUUAU